rnacentral:snRNA from 1 species
AGCUUUGCGCAGUAGCAGUAUCGUAGCCAAUGAGGUUUAUCCGAGGCGCGAUUAUUGCUAAUAGAAUAUCAAAGUCAAACUUACCAAUGGGAACAAACGGUGCCUCUUUAGCUUUUCGAAUAAGUUUCGAU